rnacentral:rRNA from 1 species
GAUGAACGCUGGCGGCAUGCCUUACACAUGCAAGUCGAACGGUAACGGGCCUUCGGGUGCCGACGAGUGGCGAACGGGUGAGUAAUGUAUCGGAACGUACCUUUCAGUGGGGGAUAACGUAGCGAAAGUUACGCUAAUACCGCAUAUUCUGUGAGCAGGAAAGCAGGGGAUCGCAAGACCUUGCGCUGAUUGAGCGGCCGAUAUCAGAUUAGCUAGUUGGUGAGGUAAAGGCUCACCAAGGCGACGAUCUGUAGCGGGUCUGAGAGGAUGAUCCGCCACACUGGAACUGAGACACGGUCCAGACUCCUACGGGAGGCAGCAGUGGGGAAUCUUGGACAAUGGGCGCAAGCCUGAUCCAGCCAUGCCGCGUGAGUGAAGAGGGUCUUCGGAUUGUAAAGCUCUUUUACCAGGGACGAUAAUGACGGUACCUGGAGAAUAAGCCCGGCAAACUUCGUGCCAGCAGCCGCGGUAAAGUACUCU